UACAGGGGGGGCAAGCGUUGUUCGGAAUUACUGGGCGUAAAGGGCUCGUAGGCGGCCAACUAAGUCCGACGUGAAAUCCCAAAGCUUAACUUUGGAACUGCGUCGGAUACUGGAUGGCUUGAAUUCGGGAGAGGGAUGCAGAAUUCCUGGUGUAGCGGUGAAAUGCGCAGAUAUCGGGAGGAACACCUAUGGCGAAGGCAGCUCGCUGGGACGUUACUGACGCUGAGACGCGAAAGCGUGGGGAGCAAACAGG
rnacentral:rRNA from 1 species